AGAGUUUGAUCCUGGCUCAGGAUGAACGCUAGCUACAGGCUUAACACAUGCAAGUCGAGGGGCAGCAUUUUAGUUUGCUUGCAAACUGAAGAUGGCGACCGGCGCACGGGUGAGUAACACGUAUCCAACCUGCCGAUAACUCCGGGAUAGCCUUUCGAAAGAAAGAUUAAUACCGGAUAGCAUACGAAUAUCGCAUGAUAUUUUUAUUAAAGAAUUUCGGUUAUCGAUGGGGAUGCGUUCCAUUAGUUUGUUGGCGGGGUAACGGCCCACCAAGACAACGAUGGAUAGGGGUUCUGAGAGGAAGGUCCCCCACAUUGGAACUGAGACACGGUCCAAACUCCUACGGGAGGCAGCAGUGAGGAAUAUUGGUCAAUGGGCGAGAGCCUGAACCAGCCAAGUAGCGUGAAGGAUGACUGCCCUAUGGGUUGUAAACUUCUUUUAUAAAGGAAUAAAGUCGGGUAUGGAUACCCGUUUGCAUGUACUUUAUGAAUAAGGAUCGGCUAACUCCGUGCCAGCAGCCGCGGUAAUACGGAGGAUCCGAGCGUUAUCCGGAUUUAUUGGGUUUAAAGGGAGCGUAGGUGGAUUGUUAAGUCAGUUGUGAAAGUUUGCGGCUCAACCGUAAAAUUGCAGUUGAAACUGGCAGUCUUGAGUACAGUAGAGGUGGGCGGAAUUCGUGGUGUAGCGGUGAAAUGCUUAGAUAUCACGAAGAACUCCGAUUGCGAAGGCAGCUCACUAGACUGUCACUGACACUGAUGCUCGAAAGUGUGGGUAUCAAACAGGAUUAGAUACCCUGGUAGUCCACACAGUAAACGAUGAAUACUCGCUGUUUGCGAUAUACAGUAAGCGGCCAAGCGAAAGCAUUAAGUAUUCCACCUGGGGAGUACGCCGGCAACGGUGAAACUCAAAGGAAUUGACGGGGGCCC
rnacentral:rRNA from 1 species